rnacentral:rRNA from 1 species
ACGGGGCGCAGCAGGCGCGAAAACUUUACAAUGCCGGCAACGGCGAUAAGGGGACCUCGAGUGCCAGGUUACAAAUCUGGCUGUCGUGAUGCCUAAAAAGCAUUGCAUAGCAAGGGCCGGGCAAGACCGGUGCCAGCCGCCGCGGUAACACCGGCGGCUCGAGUGGUAACCGUUAUUAUUGGGUCUAAAGGGUCUGUAGCCGGCCGGAUAAGUCUCUUGGGAAAUCCAGCAGCUCAACUGUUGGGCUUUCAGGAGAUACUGUCUGGCUCGAGGCCGGGAGAGGUGAGAGGUACUUCAGGGGUAGGGGUGAAAUCUUGUAAUCCUUGAAGGACCACCAGUGGCGAAGGCGUCUCACCAGAACGGACCUGACGGCAAGGGACGAAAGCUAGGGGCACGAACCGGAUUAGAUACCCGGGUAGUCCUAGCCGUAAACGAUACUCGCUAGGCGUCGGCCACGGUGCGACCGUUGUCGGUGCCGUAGGGAAGCCGUGAAGCGAGCCACCUGGGAAGUACGGCCGCAAGGCUGAAACUUAAAGGAAUUGGCGGGGGAGCACA